GUCGAGAAUAAUUCACAAUGGGGGGAAACCCUGAUGGUGCAACGCCGCGUGGAGGAUGAAGGUCUUCGGAUUGUAAACUCCUGUCAUCUGGGAGUAAGACCUGACGGUGAAUAGCCGGCAGGGUUGAUAGUACCAGAAGAGGAAGGGACGGCUAACUUCGUGCCAGCAGCCGCGGUAAUACGAAGGUCCCAAGCGUUGUUCGGAAUCACUGGGCGUAAAGGGAGCGUAGGCGGCGUGGUAAGUCAGAUGUGAAAUCCCGGGGCUCAACCCCGGAACUGCAUCCGAUACUGCCAUGCUUGAGGGUUGGAGAGGUAGCUGGAAUUCUCGGUGUAGCAGUGAAAUGCGUGGAUAUCGAGAGGAACACUCGUGGCGAAGGCGAGCUACUGGACAACAUCUGACGCUGAGGCUCGAAGGCCAGGGGAGCAAAAGGGAUUAGAAACCCGAGUAGUCC
rnacentral:rRNA from 1 species